AUAAAUAAAAAGUUCUUGACUUUUGAAAUGUAAUUAGUUAUUAUAAUAAAGUGCUCUUGAGUGAGUUACAUG
rnacentral:tRNA from 1 species